ACCAUUACUCUUUGGAACAUAAUGUUCCUCUCGUUGCAUUUUGCCAGGAUCGCUGUUUAACGCUGUUUAAUCACCCUCUUGUUGAAACACUUCACACCGUAUAUCAUGAACCCAAGGCAGAGAUCAUGCCUUCAGUUGAGCAUAUGGUGGCUGCUGCAGACAUACAGAAGCUGAAUUUUUUUCGACACUGCUGAGGGGAUAACAACUAAUCUGCGUCCAUACUGGUCAAAAGCUACAGAAG